CUGGGCUUCCAAUGCUUCAACUCUUGGUUCUCACAAUUCUAGAAUUUUCUUCUUGAGCACUUGGUGGAGCUGAACCUUCUAGAUCACUAUCCCUGCUUCCACGAACUUCUCCUUCAUGAUGUGCUUCAAGGACAUCCGGGGGUACUCCAUGCAGCCCCUGAAACCCCAAUUGAAUUGGAUGUUCAUGGAGUCAGUGUGGUCUAA
rnacentral:rRNA from 1 species